rnacentral:rRNA from 3 species
AGACCGAUAGCGAACAAGUAGAGUGAUCGAAAGAUGAAAAGCACUUUGAAAAGAGGGUUAAAUAGCACGUGAAAUUGUUGAAAGGGAAGGAUUUAUGACCAGACUUUUUCUAGGGGGAUCAUCCGGUGUUCUCACCGGUGCACUUCCCCUAGUUGAGGCCAGCAUCGGUUUCUGUCGGGGGAUAAAAGCUUCAGGAAUGUGGCUCCCUUCGGGGAGUGUUAUAGCCUGUUGCAUAAUACCCUGACGGGGACCGAGGUUCGCGCAUUGCAAGGAUGCUGGCGUAAUGGUUAUUAAUCACCCGUCUUGAAACACGGACCAAG